rnacentral:rRNA from 1 species
GAUGAACGCUAGCGGGAGGCUUAACACAUGCAAGUCGAGGGGUAACAUGAGGUAGCAAUACUUUGAUGACGACCGGCGCACGGGUGAGUAACGCGUAUGUAACCUACCUUGUACAGGGGGAUAGCCCGGAGAAAUUCGGAUUAAUACCCCAUAAUGAUAUCUGAAGGCAUCUUUAGAUAUUUAUAGUUUCGACGGUACGAGUUGGGCAUGCGUGACAUUAGCUAGUUGGUAAGGUAAGGGCUUACCAAGGUUGCGAUGUCGAGGGGUCCGGGGAGGGUGAUCCCCCACACUGGUACUGAGACACGGACCAGACUCCUACGGGAGGCAGCAGUGAGGAAUAUUGGUCAAUGGGCGUAAGCCUGAACCAGCCAUCCCGCGUGAAGGAAGAAGGCGCUAUGCGUCGUAAACUUCUUUUCCGGAGGAAUAAAAUUUCGUACGUGUACGGGACUGAAGGUACUCCGGGAAUAAGCAUCGGCUAACUCCGUGCCAGCAGCCGCCGUAACAC